AGAGCUUCUCAGCCUUUUGGCUAAGAUCAAGUGUAGUAUCUGUUCUUAUCAGAAAAGAAGGAGAGAGAGAGAGAGAAGGAAAGAAAA
ensembl:snRNA U2 U2 spliceosomal RNA